GACGAACGCUGGCGGCGUGCUUAACACAUGCAAGUCGAACGGAAAGGCCUGCUUUCCCUUGUGGAUUGCGGGUACUCGAGUGGCGAACGGGUGAGUAACACGUGAGUGAUCUGCCCCCAACUUGGGUAUAAGCCUGGGAAACUGGGUCUAAUUCCCGAUAGGACUGCAGGGUGGUGCCUGUGGUGGAAAACGAUUUUCUAGUGGUUGGGGAUGAGCUCGCGGCCUAUCAGCUUGUUGGUGGGGUAAUGGCCUACCAAGGCGGCGACGGGUAGCCGGCCUGAGAGGGGGGACGGGCACAUUGGGACUGAGAUACGGCCCAGACUCCUACGGGAGGCAGCAGUGGGGAAUAUUGCACAAUGGGCGGAAGCCUGAUGCAGCGACGCCGCGUGGGGGAUGACGGCCUUCGGGUUGUAAACUCCUUUCGACCGCGAGGAAGCCACCUGGUUGGAAGGGUGGUGACGGUAGUGGUAGAAGAAGCACCGGCUAACUACGUG
rnacentral:rRNA from 1 species